rnacentral:rRNA from 1 species
ACGGGAGGCAGCAGUGGGGAAUAUUGGGCAAUGGGCGCAAGCCUGACCCAGCAACGCCGCGUGAAGGAUGAAGGUCUUCGGAUUGUAAACUUCUUUAAUCGGGGAAGAAAAAAAUGACCUACCCGAAGAAUAAGCCACGGCUAACUACGUGCCAGCAGCCGCGGUAAUACGUAGGUGGCAAGCGUUAUCCGGAUUUACUGGGUGUAAAGGGCGUGUAGGCGGCUCUGCAAGUCAGAAGUGAAAUUCCCGGGCUCAACCUGGGCGCUGCUUCUGAAACUGCAGAACUUGAGUACUGGAGGGGAAAGCGGAAUUCCUAGUGUAGCGGUAAAAUGCGCAGAUAUUAGGAAGAACACCGGUGGCGAAGGCGACUUACUGGACUGUAACUGACACUGAAGUACGAAAGCGUGGGGAGCAAACAGGAUUAGAUACCCUGGUA